AAAAGUGAAAGACGGUCUUGCUGUCACUUAUAGAUGGAUCCGCGCUGCAUUAGCUAGUUGGUAAGGUAACGGCUUACCAAGGCAACGAUGCAUAGCCGACCUGAGAGGGUGAUCGGCCACACUGGAACUGAGACACGGUCCAGACUCCUACGGGAGGCAGCAGUAGGGAAUCUUCCGCAAUGGGCGAAAGCCUGACGGAGCAACGCCGCGUGAGUGAUGAAGGUCUUCGGAUCGUAAAACUCUGUUAUUAGGGAAGAACAUAUGUGUAAGUAACUGUGCACAUCUUGACGGUACCUAAUCAGAAAGCCACGGCUAACUACGUGCCAGCAGCCGCGGUAAUACGUAGGUGGCAAGCGUUAUCCGGAAUUAUUGGGCGUAAAGCGCGCGUAGGCGGUUUUUUAAGUCUGAUGUGAAAGCCCACGGCUCAACCGUGGAGGGUCAUUGGAAACUGGAAAACUUGAGUGCAGAAGAGGAAAGUGGAAUUCCAUGUGUAGCGGUGAAAUGCGCAGAGAUAUGGAGGAACACCAGUGGCGAAGGCGACU
rnacentral:rRNA from 1 species